UGGGGAAUUUUGGACAAUGGGGGAAACCCUGAUCCAGCCAUCCCGCGUGUGCGAUGAAGGCCUUCGGGUUGUAAAGCACUUUUGGCAGGAAAGAAACGUCAUGGGUUAAUACCCCGUGAAACUGAAGGUACCUGCAGAAUAAGCACCGGCUAACUACGUGCCAGCAGCCGCGGUAAUACGUAGGGGGCAAGCGUUAAUCGGAAUUAAUGGGCGUAAAGCGUGCGCAGGCGGUUCGGAAAGAAAGAUGUGAAAUCCCAGAGCUUAACUUUGGAACUGCAUUUUUAACUACCGGGCUAGAGUGUGUCAGAGGGAGGUGGAAUUCCGCGUGUAGCAGUGAAAUGCGUAGAUAUGCGGAGGAACACCGAUGGCGAAGGCAGCCUCCUGGGAUAACACUGACGCUCAUGCACGAAAGCGUGGGGAGCAAACA
rnacentral:rRNA from 1 species